rnacentral:rRNA from 1 species
CGCAAGCGUUGUCCGGAAUUAUUGGGCGUAAAGAGCUCGUAGGCGGUUUGUCGCGUCUGCUGUGAAAACCCGGGGCUUAACCCCUGGCUUGCAGUGGAUACGGACAGACUAGAGGUAGGUAGGGGAGAAUGGAAUUCCCGGUGUAGCGGUGAAAUGCGCAGAUAUCGGGAGGAACACCGGUGGCGAAGGCGGUUCUCCGGGCCUUACCUGACGCUGAGGAGCGAAAGCGUGGGGAGCGAACAGG